AACGAACGCUGGCGGCAGGCUUAACACAUGCAAGUCGAGCGCCCCGCAAGGGGAGCGGCAGACGGGUGAGUAACGCGUGGGAAUCUACCCAUCUCUACGGAAUAACGCAUGGAAACGUGUGCUAAUACCGUAUACGUCCUUCGGGAGAAAGAUUUAUCGGAGAUGGAUGAGCCCGCGUUGGAUUAGCUAGUUGGUGGGGUAAAGGCCUACCAAGGCGACGAUCCUUAGCUGGUCUGAGAGGAUGAUCAGCCACACUGGGACUGAGACACGGCCCAGACUCCUACGGGAGGCAGCAGUGGGGAAUAUUGGACAAUGGGCGCAAGCCUGAUCCAGCCAUGCCGCGUGAGUGAUGAAGGCCCUAGGGUUGUAAAGCUCUUCCACCGGUGAAGAUAAUGACGGUAACCGGAGAAGAAGCCCCGGCUAACUUCGUGCCAGCCGCCGCGGUAAGAC
rnacentral:rRNA from 1 species